AUGAAAAUGUAAACAACAAAGAUCGGGCCCCGGUUCCGGACCCAGCGUACCCGCCCUACCAUGAGACGAUCACCUCCACUCGUCUCCCUCAUUUUGGCCACUAAAUGGCCUAUAUUAGCCCGUGUCGGCCAUACUGCCCACUCUCCCCAACAAUAUUAUUUUAGCCGGACAUGAUUUCUUUCAAUAGCUGUUUAGGAUCUCAAGCAAGCGGAUAAUUCAUUAACUUCACAGAAUUAAUUUUUUUAUUUUUUUACAACACUGAAUGGAACAGGCGACGAAAUACUACAAGGAUAUUGCUAGUCGCCGCAAAAGAAACGCGCAAGGAGGCACUUUAGAGGCAAUCGUUGCGCCGAUUUAGGAACAAUGGCCCACACAAUUACUUAAAACUGGAGCUCUCUGGGGGUGGUAAGGGGCGAUAUAAAUGCG